UACGAAGGUCCCAAGCGUUGUUCGGAAUCAUUGGGCGUAAAGCGGGUGUAGGCGGUUUUAUAAGUCGGAUGUGAAAUCCCUGGGCUCAACCUAGGAACUGCAUUCGAUACUGUUUAACUUGAGUACGGGAGAGGGUAGUGGAAUUCCUGGUGUAGUGGUGAAAUACGUAGAUAUCAGGAGGAACUCCGGAGGCGAAGGCGACUGCCUGGCCCAGUACUGACGCUGAGACCCGAAAGCGUGGGGAUCAAACAGG
rnacentral:rRNA from 1 species